UACGUAGGGGGCUAGCGUUGUCCGGAUUUAUUGGGCGUAAAGAGCGUGUAGGCGGCCAUGUAGGUCCGGUGUGAAAACUCGAGGCUUAACCUCGAGAUGUCAUCGGAAACCAUUUGGCUAGAGUCCGGAAGAGGAGAGUGGAAUUCCCGGUGUAGCGGUGAAAUGCGCAGAUAUCGGGAGGAACACCAAUGGCGAAAGCAGGUAACUGGACUAUUACUGACACUCAACUGCGAAAGCUAGGGGAGCAAACAGG
rnacentral:rRNA from 1 species